UACGGAGGGUCCAAGCGUUAUCCGGAAUCAUUGGGUUUAAAGGGUCCGUAGGCGGUUUUGUAAGUCAGUGGUGAAAGCCCAUCGCUCAACGGUGGAACGGCCAUUGAUACUGCAAGACUUGAAUUAUUAGGAAGUAACUAGAAUAUGUAGUGUAGCGGUGAAAUGCUUAGAGAUUACAUGGAAUACCAAUUGCGAAGGCAGGUUACUACUAAUGGAUUGACGCUGAUGGACGAAAGCGUGGGUAGCGGACAGG
rnacentral:rRNA from 1 species